UCGGUUAAACAUGUGGAUAUGUAUGCGCAUCAGAUUCUCAGCCCUGGAUUUAUCCCUGGCUAACCGAACAAUCAAAUAGGAGCAAGGGGACAGGGAAUGAGUGACAGCUAGGAGAUCAACUAAUUCCAGGCCUGGAUUGAUUUCUCUUCUGGAUUGGAUCCCCAGCUGCCGAACAAGGCCUUAGUCUUCCAUGAAGUGGAUCUAGUGGGGCGAGACUGGAUUUCGGCCCCGCGCGGUCUCGG
rnacentral:lncRNA from 1 species